UGAGCUGCAAACCCAAGGCUGCCAGGAGAAGGAAGGUCCAGUUGUUCCUGCAGGGACCCAGAACAGAGGCGCAGGACGGCCAGUGUCCUUGGCAGGGACAGUGGCCCCGCUGCAGGGAGAGUGGGGGUGCCCAGAGAGAGAGGGAAUCUGGGCAGGCUCCGUGUGAGCAGAGCUGUGUGGGCAAGCUGAGUCAGAAAGGGACCUCAGCUUGGUGGGGGCAGAGAAGAAGAAUUUAAAGGGAGGGGCAGGGUCACUGCCUUGAGGAAUUUGGGGGAGGACAAAGUUAGGUCACACUUCCGGAGACAGCUGGAGUCUUGUCUGUUCUUUGGGGUCUACUGUACCCCUGCCACGGGGUCACUUGGACUGCAUCCUGCCACACUGUUGCCGUGGAGACAGUGGCCCUCCAGGCUUCCUACCUGCCCCGCUGCCAGGGAGCACACAGCAGUACCCAGCCCUCGCUGGAGACUUGGACAACUUCGUCCUCAGCAGAGGUGGCCUGUUCCUGCUCCAGGAGUGCUCCAGGCCCCCCGGACUCACGAUGUGGCAGAGCUGCAGCCUAAGCCCUGUGCCACCACUCCCGGUGUGACGUGCCUUCUGACCCAGCGCUCUUUCCAGGCCAGCAGAGUCUGGCAGUGUUCCCGCCAGCCGGAAGCAGCCGGAUGGACAGCACAGUAGAGCGGUCUUUGGAAGACACAAUUACAAUGCCAGCUAUGCG
rnacentral:lncRNA from 1 species